GCCCUGUUUUCUUACCCGGAUUCCAGGUCACACAGGCGUCUCUCUGCUGCAGAAAUGAAGGUCCGGACACAGUAGCCUAUUUCAGGGAGACAUUUUUAUUUAACACGUAUGCUUAGCCUGGAAAUAACUGGAGAAAAUGAGGAGUUUCUUAAGGGCUGCACUUUUGAGGACCAGGCACCUUGCCGUGAAUCUCCAUCAGACCAUGUUCCUGGGCGUGCUGUGGUGUGGGAGCACAGGGUCCUGCUGGAGGGACCCUGGGCCUUGCAGACAAGAAGUCCCCCUGCUGCCUGUGCCGAGGGGCCGAUGCCAAGGACAGGGCUGCUGGCUGAGCGGCAGAAUGUGGCGUGUUGGAGACGCUUAAGGAUCUCAAACACGAGGGAGCUUGCUGAAUGGAGAGGCCAUUCAUGUGAAAUAGAGGAUCAGAGAUGAGAACAGGAGCAGUAGGAAACCAGCCUGGCAGCCUUCGCUGUGCUAAAGAGCCCUAGAUUUGUGAUACUGCAGGUCACUGGAGCACCUUGAACACAAGACACCGGGUGUGUUUGCGGACCACCAACAGACCCAGCUCGUCCUGAGCCAGGCACGGAGGAGCCAUCUCUGAGAGCGCCCGCUGCUCCCUGCUCUAAUUGAAGCUGUACAUCACAUUCAGAGCCCGCCCCCGCCUUCCGGCAGCUCUCGGGCCCUUCUGGGUCCCUUUCUGCCCUACCCUUCCUCCACCAGGAAGGAGCUGCUCCUUCAUCAGAUGUCGUCCUGCAGGAGAGCGACACGGCCCUCUGCCGCGGGUCCCCUUGGAACAAGGUCACAAUCGUCAGAGACGUAUCUCCCCACUUCUUCAUCCCAGAUGCUCACAGCAGCCAGGAGGAAAGAAUAUUUAGGCUGUGUUCUGUCAACACAGGCUUCUCCCGUCAGGCAGAAGAGCAGGCAGGGGCUUGCGUUGCUGCCAGACAACUGGCCACACAAGAAAACCGUCCUCGAGGUUCCUCUGACAGCUUUAUUCCCGUGGCUCUGGCCGAAGAGUAGCAGAAGGAUUGCAGAGGCGCUGCGUGGAGCGUCACUCCCAGAUUCAGGAAAGUGUCCGCUGGCUGCAGGAUGAGCGAGAGGACGCAGGGAGGGGACGGGGCUCCAGUGACCUCAGUCACUCCCUGCCUCGUUUCUGUAGCCAGAUCCCGCUCCCUGUCUGCGCUGGGUCGGGGGCUCUGUUUCCUGGAAUAGGGAAGAGCCCCCACGCGCUGCCCGAAUGCUGGUGUGGAAGAAGCCGCUACCAGUCGCUGUGCAGCUGCUGCGGGCCCUGGUCCUGGAGAAGACCCGGGCAGGUGUGACUGGUUUACGUCAGGCCCUGCCUGUGGCACAUCUGUCUGGCCCACUCAUUAGCCAGCAGAGCUCCUCCUCUGGGCCUCCUGAUGGAUGCUUGUGACUCACGUGGAAUGCCCUGUCCACUCGGGUCCUUCCAACAACCGUGAAAGAACCCAAGUUUUUUGUUCUUUGAAGCAGCAAAAACAGAGUCGGGGAAGGACUUUCUGGAUGACAGACUGCUAGGUAGGCUACCGCAGCUCAUCCCUGUCAGCCAAACCCAGGGCCGGAGAUCCUCCCACGGGUGUUUGUGCAUAGAAAACUCUGCAGUGAAGCACACGGGGCAGAGCAACACAGGCCGCCCGCUGCGGGAUUCCUGGCAUGCACCACAGGUCUCCUGGGGUCCUGCCUCAGGGCCGCAGGACUGGUGCUGGGUCCCUGCAGGUGCCCAAUCCACAGACACCAGGGCCUGGCGAUGGCAUAGCACCCACAUGCACCCUCCCGCGUCACCUGCACCCUCCGCGUGCUCCAAGCAUCUCUAGGUUACUCAUAAUGCCCGACACAAUGUAUGUGAGGCAGAAAUAGUCAUUAAACUGUAUUUUUUUUAGGAAACAAUUACAAGAAAAAAAGUGUCUGCCAGCUUCAGUGCAGAUACAGUUGUUUUCACAAAUACUUUCCAUCUGUGGUGGGUUCAGUGCCAGACGUGAUGGGCUGACGCCAAGUGCUGCCGGUACCUCCUUUCCCACAGGCCUACCUCAUGGAUGUGCGCAUAGAACCAAGUUCCUGGACACUAAGACGCAGUCUCAGGCCGGGACUGGAGGGCCAGAGCAUCAGUUUAUCGAGCGGAUGGAAAUGACUGAACCCCCAGGAAAAUAUGGUUCCAAAUUAAUCAUUCUUGCCGUGCUCCAGAGGAACUCAGCCCUGAACUCACGGGAAGAACACCCGGAAUCUGACGGGGCCUUCAUUAAUUAAGAACAACAAAGCCCUCAGCUGUAUUAGGUGCCAAAGUCAUUUUCUGGCACUGACAAUUUAGUUAGUCUCCACCUUUCACACUAGAAUCAUUCUCCUACCGCUAGUAAACUGAUUAGUCCUCGUGAUCCACGCUGCACUUACUUCCCUGGACUCACCGCUCCAUCGGUCUUCACAUGUUGUUAGAAUGCUGCUGCUUUUCCUGGUUUUGGUUUCACGGUGUUUUAAUAAAGUGGUCAGCUGAGCCGCGACCACCGAGAAACACCCCAGAGCAUCCCUCCUCCCUCCGCUCACGGCCUGACCUUGAAGCACCAUAAGGAGAACUGACAUGGCUCCCUCCCGAUGGCUUCAGGACCCCCCAUCCCCCCUGCUUGACCCCAUGCCCAUUUCACAAGUCACCCCCUCCCAGCUCCAAGUAGCCAGAGACCUCGACGUCCACCUUUCCUUCUUCCUUUCAGAGUCUGGAAUAUUGGAUAUGGAAGAUGAAAAACUCCAAGGCAGCGAGGAGAAAGAAAUAGGAAGACCUUCUCCUAGAGGUGCAGCGCUGAACAAAGGCUGCAGUGCCUGCGGGGUUGGUGUCUGGCCUGGUCUCUGUUCUAACACCCGUUUUACUGCCGUCUCACCCGAAACCAGAGAGGUCUAGCCGGCCUGCUCCGCGUGGGAACUGCCUGUGGGAACUCAGCGGCCUUAGCAUGCACACAGGUGGUGCUCACAGCUCUGCUCACGGCAGCGAACGCGGACGUACCUUCCCACACGUCUCCUUCCUGUGUCAGGGAGGAGCCCAGAAGCAGACACCCCAGUAGCGAUGCGCUCAGGGUGCCUGGAUCCUGAAAGGCCAGGGAUCCCGGUAAGGGCUGAUUUAGAGUGGGAAAGGAAACAUAGAGGACCAACCUGGAGCAUGUCGUGGGGCCAGGAGGUGAGGAGUGCUCAAAACCUAAACAAAACCAGCUCCCACGGCGAUGGUGUGGUGUCCGAGGACAGCUGAAGAUCCGCGGUGGCCGAAGACUCAAGUCUGGGCAGAAAACAGCACUGCAUCGUGACCCAAAGUGUAGCAGGAACACCCUGGGGUCCACGCUGGCUGAUGAAACAGCCGAUAGACAGAUAAAUGGGGGAGGAGGACCCCCCUGUGCAGAACGCUGAGAAGCAUUCUUUCCUUCAGGGUGAGCGUGGCCACCGAGUUCUUCCCAGAUGGUGUUCACAGUGGGGACGGGAACAUCACAGUUGGAGAAGCCUGACAGGUAGCAACUCGGCCAGCCAGGUGGUCCAGCCAACAUCCAUGGAGAUGAGUCACUCCGAAGGCCUGUGCCACUGACGGUGACGGAAUGGCCCCUCAGGAAGCUGUGACUCCAUGGUCAUCAGGAACACCAAGCUCAAUGCAGGGACGUCCUGCCAAAGCCCUCCCCAGCUUCUACAUCAAGGUCAUCCAGAGGGACAUCCCAGAGCUGUGGCCACCUGGAGGAGCCUUGCAGGUGCACAGCUGUGGAAUGGGGGGUCCUGGACGGGGCACGGGCUCCAGAGGGACACCAAGGUGAUCUGAGUCAGGUACGGGAUCUAGUGAGCAGUGGUCUGUCAACACUGACUGGUCAGCCAUGAGCAGCGUGCCACCCAGGGUUUCCGCAGCUGCAUGACUGUGAUGGAUGCUGCAUGGACAUCGGCCAGGGCAGAUGGUGUGGAGCAUGCACGAAGUCUGUCCUCUCAGCCCACCUUGCAAACCUCCAAGCAUUCUCCAUGACAAAGUGCAUUUCAGAAACAGAGGUCGGCUCCAACACUUUGGGUCACCUCCCUGUUGCCAUUUCUGGCCGUCUAGCAGGGCUGUGCGGACUUCAGAGGCUUUUGUCUUACAUCGACAUCCUGUGUUUAUUAAAUCACUGCAAGGGCCUGAGGGUGGGUGAUUUUAAACUUACAUUUCUUUUAUAAAAUGGAAAUGGAUCUACUUCAGCAAUGAGCAUUUCUUCUGUAAAGUUAGAAUGGAUUUGCUUAAGCAAAAGGGAAGCCCGUUAACGUCCCCCGUGACUCCAAGGUGUCUAAAAGACCACUGCUGGUGUUUUCAGGCUCUUUAGAUAUUCUUGCUUUUCUGCUGCGACUCUGGAAUCACAUGUUACCUGCUAUUUGGAAGCCUGGUUUUACUCAUGGUCUACUAUAAACUUUUUUCCGUUCCAUAAAUAACCCUGAAGCACAAAGCGGGAGUCCUGUUGGAUGACGUCUAACUGCUCAGUUUGUGCAAGCACCCAGGGGAGGAGGGAAGGAGGCAGAGUGGGCUCCCUGUGGGCGACGGCUGGCACUGGAGAACUGCCAUCCAGGUGGGUUACAGGAAUUAACUGAGCAGGCCUAAAUGAUCCCACAUCACCCCUUGCUCAGCCUGGUGAGGAACGGGUGCAUGAGUGGGUCAGCCCUUUGAGAAAGGUGCUGGAGGAUCAGGCAGGUCACUUCCUCUGGGUCCUAGGAGUGUCCAUGUCCCCCAGACACCAGCCUUUCUGAACUAGUGCAGCAGGCUGUGGCUCUCUUCUAUAGAGAAAAUCUCAGGGUCGCAGAGUGCAUUGAAAUCCCAGCUAACCGGGGGGUGGAGAGAGGUCUAAGAGCCCUUCCUGGGCCAGUGUCCACCACAGGGUGCUCAUUGCUGGGACACACCCAGAGGGCUUCCCCCUCGCUCUGCAAGGACCGCACGCACCUACUGCAGGCAAGGAUGUCUGUGGGAGGAGCUGCUGGUGCGGGAUUCUUAGGUCG